AUUGAACGCUGGCGGCAUGCCUUACACAUGCAAGUCGAACGGCAGCAUGGAGAGCUUGCUCUCUGAUGGCGAGUGGCGAACGGGUGAGUAAUGCAUCGGAACGUACCGUGUAAUGGGGGAUAACGUAGCGAAAGUUACGCUAAUACCGCAUACGACCUGAGGGUGAAAGCAGGGGAUCGCAAGACCUUGCGUUAUACGAGCGGCCGAUGUCAGAUUAGCUAGUUGGUGAGGUAAAGGCUCACCAAGGCGACGAUCUGUAGCGGGUCUGAGAGGAUGAUCCGCCACACUGGGACUGAGACACGGCCCAGACUCCUACGGGAGGCAGCAGUGGGGAAUUUUGGACAAUGGGGGCAACCCUGAUCCAGCCAUGCCGCGUGAGUGAAGUAGGCCUUCGGGUUGUAAAGCUCUUUCGGCCGGGAAGAAAUCGCACAGGCUAAUACUCUGUGUGGAUGACGGUACCGGCAUAAGAAGCACCGGCUAACUACAUGCCAGCCGCCGCAGUAA
rnacentral:rRNA from 1 species